CGUCUACGUAUAAGCAAUACGAGAGUGAAACUGCGAACGGCUCCAUUAUAUAAGUUAUCGUUUAUUUCGAUAGUGCCUAUCCUACACGGAUAACAGUGGUAAUUCUAGAGYUAAUACGUGCCAACUCGCCCCGACUUCGGAAGGGGCGUGUUUGUCAGAAUCAGAACCAAUCGCCCUUAACGGGGCUCCCUGGUGGCUCAUGACAACCCUACAGAGCGCAUGGCCUCGCGCCGGCGCCGGCUCAUUCAAAUUUCUUCCCUAUCAACUUUCGACGGUACGGUCUUGGCCUACCGUGGUUACAACGGGUAACGGAGGGUUAGGGCUCGACCCCGGAGAGGGAGCCUGAGAAACGGCUACCACAUCCAAGGAAGGCAGCAGCCGCGCAAAUUAUCCAAUCCCGACUCGGGGAGAUAGUGACAAUAAAUACCGAUACAGGGCUCUUUUGGGCCCCGUAAUUGGAAUGAGUACAAUUUAAACCUCUUAACGAGGAACAAUUGGAGGGCAAGUCUGGUGCCAGCAGCCGCGGUAAUUCCAGCUCCAAUAGCGUAUAUUAAAGUUGUUGUGGUUAAAAAGCUCGUAGUCGAACCUCGGGCUCGGCCGGCCGGUCCGCCUCACCGCGUGCACUGGCCCGGCCGGGCUCUUCUCCCUGCGGAGCCGCAUGCCCUUCACUGGGCGUGCCGGGGAAGCAGGACUUUUACUUUGAAAAAAUUAGAGUGCUCAAGGCAGGCCAAUGCUCGGAUACAUUAGCAUGGAAUAAUGGAAUAGGACGUUGGUUCUAUUUUGUUGGUUUCUAGGACCGCCGUAAUGAUCAAUAGGGACGGUCGGGGGCGUCAGUAUUCAGCCGCGAGAGGUGAAAUUCUUAGACCGGCUGAAGACUAACUACUGCGAAAGCWUYCGCCAAGGACGUUUUCGCUGAUCAGGAACGAAAGUUAGGGGAUCGAAGACGAUCAGAUACCGUCGUAGUCUUAACCAUAAACGGUGCCGACUUGGGAUCGGGCGCUGCUGAAUCUACGGCGCGCUCGGCACCAUUCGAGAAAUCAAAGUGCGUGGGCUCCAGGGGGAGUAGCGCACGAUUA
rnacentral:rRNA from 1 species